CCUCCCUGGCAGUGGGCAGAGAGACACCUUGUUGGUGGUGUUGCUCUUACCAGUCAGCGGCAGGACAGACAGUGGUCCUUCACUCUUCCUAGCUUGAUGCCUCACUUGGUGGCCAAGCUGUUUCAUGCCUGGGGCACAUAA
rnacentral:snoRNA from 1 species